AAAAUAGUGUACGUAAGGGAUAAAUAAAGCAAAAUUGAUAAAACUAUUGAGGGUAUAACGGUAAAACCACACGGGAGGCAUUUCCUUAGCUCAUGAAGGAUACACGCAGACGCAGUAUUCUCGUCAGAGCUGAGUCAUACACAAAAGAAAACAUAAAAACCAAAGAUACAAGAGAAAGACCCUCAAAUGAAGCUUCAGCAAUGGCGUUAAUGGCAACCAGAACAAACCUCUUUAGGCUCCUCACUACAAAAGCACCGAUUUUGGGAUCUGGGUCUUCCUCCAAUGGCCUCAAGGGACCCGUUCGGGCCGACCGGAGCGGUGGAGCCGUGUCAACUUCGUCGUAUUCGACCUCUGCGGUGGCGCAGCAGCCUGAGUCCGGGACCAUUGGGUCUAGGCCGCCGCACAUGGGGCAGGAGAUAUUGGGUGUGAAAGAUUACGAAGAUUAUAGAAGAUCUUUGUAUGGUGAAAUCACUCACAAGGCUUUGCUAGUUGAUGCUGUUGGUACCCUUGUUGUUCCUUCCCAGCCAAUGGCUCAGAUAUAUAGGAAGAUAGGCGAGAAAUACGGAGUGGAGUACUCAGAGACCGAGAUUUUGAACAGAUACAGAAGAGCUUACGAGCAGCCUUGGGGAAGAUCUCGUCUCAGAUAUGUAAAUGAUGGGAGACCCUUCUGGCAAUAUAUAGUCAGUUCUUCCACUGGCUGUUCUGAUUCUCAGUACUUUGAAGAACUUUAUAACUACUAUACGACUGACAAGGCUUGGCACCUCUGUGAUCCUGAUGCUGAGAAGGUGUUUGAAGCUCUGAGGAAAGCAGGUGUUAAAGUAGCUGUUGUAUCAAAUUUUGAUACCCGAUUAAGGCCUCUUUUACAUGCUCUACAUUGUGAACAUUGGUUUGAUGCAGUAGCAGUGUCAGCCGAAGUAAGUGAAUUGCUUAGAAAUUCUCUACAGUUGAAGCAGAGAAGCCAAAUCCAACAAUAUUUCUUAAAGCUUGUGAAUUAUUGGGAGUAAAACCUGAGGAUGCUGUGCAUGUAGGUGAUGAUCGUAGGAAUGAUAUAUGGGGUGCUAGAGAUGCAGGCUGUGAUGCUUGGCUUUGGGGAAGUGAUGUUCACUCCUUCAAGGAGGUGGCUCAGAGGGUAGGGGUCCAGGUUUAGCAUGAUGUCGUAGCGACCUGAAUGAUGCUCGGUCUGUACAGGUUUUUAUUUAGCUUCUUCGAUGCGGGGCGUUGUGUAAUUACGCUCUUGGUGUAAUCUGUAUAAGAGAGACGUGAAACCUAAGAGAAUUAUCAUGCUGAAGUAUCGAUUUUGUACUAAUUAUGGUAAGUUCAGUUGCAUCACA